AUGCUUCUCAAAGUAUUCAUCAGCAGUCAUGGUGCUGAUCUUUUUCUUCAUUUCUUGAACUUCAACAAUCUCCUUCUCCAACCGCUCAGACUCCUUUAGAGACUUUUCUUCAGCUUCCUUCAAUUCUACCAGCAAUGCAUCAAAUUUAGGUUUGUACUGUGGAGUCACUGUGUCUACGAAUUUGGGGAUCUCAAUGCCGUCAUAAGCCUCUUUGUACAUGUCCACCAAGCGGGAUCCAAUUCCCUUUCUGUAAUAUUCCCAGUCUAUGGGCUCUGGUUCCUGGCUAAAUUUAGUCUGGAGGGUUGAGUUAACCUCCUCGAAGGCUCGGCGAAGGGACGAGAACUCCUUGCGAGCCUCAUCGGAGACCAAAAGCUUGGCCAUGCCAUCCCAAUCGAUGUUCUUGGAUGCUUUGAAGGCAACAUCGGCCACUUUCUUAACGGUGCCGCUCAUUUUCUUGUUGUUAUCUCUCGAUUUGGCGGAGGAAAGAAGAAGAGAAUCAAUGGGAUGUGUGAGAGGGCAAUUCG
rnacentral:misc_RNA from 1 species